UACGGAGGGUGCGAGCGUUGUCCGGAAUCACUGGGCGUAAAGAGCUCGUAGGCGGUCUGUCGCGUCGGCUGUGAAAACUCGGGGCUCAACCCCGAGCCUGCAGUCGAUACGGGCAGACUAGAGUGCGGUAGGGGAGAUUGGAAUUCCUGGUGUAGCGGUGAAAUGCGCAGAUAUCAGGAGGAACACCGGUGGCGAAGGCGGGUCUCUGGGCCGAUACUGACGCUGAGGAGCGAAAGCGUGGGGAGCGAACAGG
rnacentral:rRNA from 1 species